UUUAAGAUAUUUGUUUUUGUUCAGAGGUUGACCAAUGAUUGUUUGGGACUAUCACUUACCAUGGUCCUGAUUUUUGUGUUAGUUUUUCUUUGGAAUCUGCGAAGUGGAAAUCUAUUGGAGCACUUGAAGGCUAACAAGAAAACCAGAAACAUAGCUUAUGAUUUGAUUAUCGAAAUUGGCCGUUCUUGUGAAGAUGCUGAAAAUGAUGGGAGGGAGGCCAACCUGCACCAGUUCUUUGACAUGGUCUGAAACUAUUAAAAGAGUUGUUCCAGAUCUGAAACAACUAAAAGAGCUAUAUAUGGUACCUAUUUCUCCGACCAGUGCGGUUUCUGUUUCUGUUGUUCCAGGUAUGAAACUAUUAACAUUGAUGCCAUUUAUUUAACAGCUAACUCCAUACACAGUACAAGUUUAGUUAUGAAGUUUCAGUUUCAGCUUCAGGCUAAGAAGAUCAACUUUUGUUCGUAAGAUGUUAGCAACUCUAAACAUGGAGAGCUGUCCAUCGUGAAUGUAUCUGAAUAAAUUUAGGCAUCUAGCUUGGGUCCAUCUAAAAAAAGUAAACAUAUGCAUUAGAUUUCAGUGUGCUUUCCGGUACAUAUGGUCAAUUACAGAGUUAAACAUUUAAUGUGCUAGGACUAGGUGGUUAACCAUCUCUCUUACUUAGCUACCUGAGAUUGGGUUGAUCGCUGCUGUUUAGUUACUAACUAAUAGACUAUAGAACAAUGGUAUUAAAUUUUUUCCAGUACAUUAUGAUGCUAAUAACAGAGUACCGUUUAUACAUUUCUUGGAUGAUG